rnacentral:lncRNA from 1 species
UGGUGUCUUUCUGAACUCCCCCGACCGUUCGAGCUUCCAUAAUACCAUCCAAACUCCAAUAAUGAGCUCCUCCAUUCAUCUAUCGAACUACCCCAAAUGCUCUCUGAACUUCACUAUCAGCCAAUUUUCGACAGUGAUCGACUAUUCUCCGAAUCUCUUUCAGACUUCUUCCGGCCACGAACGACUUUACUCUGAACUUCUUUCGAACUUCAUCAAUGUUCGAGCUUCUCCA